rnacentral:rRNA from 1 species
AAAACAUGUCUAUAAGUAAAAUUUAUAGUCUUACCUGCUCACUGAAAUAUUAAAGAGCUGUAGUACAUUGACUAUACAAAGGUAGCAUAAUAUAUUGUUUUUUAAUUAAAAACUUGAAUGAAAGGUUUAAUGAAAAAUAACUUUUCCUUUAUUAAAUAAAAAAUUAAUCACUUAGUUAAAAUUCUAAGAUUCUCUAAAAGACGAUAAGACCCUAUAAAAUUUUAUUUAAUAUUUUUGUUUAGUUAAAUUAAUAAUAAAUUUUGUUGGGGCAAUAAAAAUAUAUUUUUUAACUGUUUUAUUUAAACCAUUAAUUAAUGAUAUUUAUGACCUUUAUAAAGAUUAUAAGAUUAAAUUACUUUA